rnacentral:rRNA from 2 species
ACAUAGGGAAACUUAUGCUAAUACCGGAUAGGUUUUUGGAUCGCAUGAUCCGAAAAGAAAAGGCGGCUUUAAGCUGUCACUGGGAGAUGGGCCUGCGGCGCAUUAGCUAGUUGGUGGGGUAAUGGCCUACCAAGGCGACGAUGCGUAGCCGACCUGAGAGGGUGACCGGCCACACUGGGACUGAUACACGGCCCAGACUCCUACGGGAGGCAGCAGUAGGGAAUUUUCCACAAUGGACGAAAGUCUGAUGGAGCAACGCCGCGUGAACGAUGAAGGUCUUCGGAUUGUAAAGUUCUGUUGUUAGGGACGAACAAGUACCGUUCGAAUAGGGCGGUACCUUGACGGUACCUGACGAGAAAGCCACGGCUAACUACGUGCCAGCAGCCGCGGUAAUACGUAGGUGGCAAGCGUUGUCCGGAUUUAUUGGGCGUAAAGCGCGCGCAGGCGGCUAUGUAAGUCUGGUGUUAAAGCCCGGAGCUCAAACUCCGGUUCGCAUCGGAAACUGUGUAGCUUGAGUGCAGAAGAGGAAAGCGGUAUUUCCACGUGUAGCGGUGAAAUGCGUAUAGAUGUGGAGGAACACCAGUGGCGAA